AAGUUCCUGAGACCGGCAGCCCAGGAUGCUCUUUGUGACCUGGGCAUUGCCAUGGAGAAGCUGCACACGGCUCAGGACCGGGCCAGGCCUUGCUUGUCCUGUGGCCACAAAGCUACAGGACACAUGGUGGGAACACAUGGAACCCUUCUGAUGACACGGCAACACUUGGCUUUAGACCCAGGCUUGGAAGAGCGCGUUGAAGAAAUGGAGUGUGGGAAUGGAAAGUCAGCCUGACUAUACCAUAGAAGUGUUGGAAUGAGGAAGGCAUCUGACCCCUGGCCUCGCUCCAUCUAAGCUCCGGAAGCCCAGGCUCCUUUUCCAGAGGCAGAGAGGUCUGAGGCUGGUCAAGAGGCUUAGAGAAGGACAGAGCCGAGGAGCAGAAUAAACAGCCCUUCUUCUCCGGAAAAUGACCCUGCUGAUCCCGGAGUUAAAAAUAGUGGCGUAUUGAUCGUGGGCUGUGCCUAGCCAGCACCAGUUAUCUGAGCCUCACUGGCAGAAGGACCUGUCUGACUCAGCCACUCAGGUAAUUUAUUUUUUCCAUUCAGUAGCCAGGAAGUGUCCCCUGCACAUCCUGGGAUGAGCCACGACACCCCCUAACCUCAGAGUUCAUCAUUCCUAUGUUGGGGUGCUUAACCCUAGGGAGAGGGAGAAGGUCACAUUUCUCUAUUUGUUCCUCAAAGACACUGCAGGGUCUUUGUGGGAUGACGUGUCUGCUCAGAGUCUUGUUUUGUGGGUUUAUAGGACAACCUACCGCUCACGGACCACAGGUCCAAGCGUAGCGCACGGUUCAGGCCUCCACACCUGGUUGUCCCUGUUGCUGUCCAUCAGAGGGCACUGCAGGGCACCUGGACCUUCCAGCUUCCUGGUGAUGACCAGACCAAGCUACUUCUCUGAGUGGUGGCUUGUGUUUUCAAUGUGGGGUCGACUCUACAGUAUGCCUGGCGAGGGACGAGAAGGCCUACAGACCACACACAUCCCAGCUUAGCUCUCCCCAGGCCCCCACCUCUGAUCUCUGGAGAACCCGGGACACAGGUUGACCCCUAGAUCUUCCUCAUGGGACUUGGAGGUAUGGUGGACUCAACUGUAUCCCUUACCUUAAUCCAAAAUUUGGAACCUGAACCUUACAGUGCAACCAGAAAAGAUGGCCUCCCCCAAGUGCCCAGCUCCUUCCUCAGAGGCUCCGUGCACAGCAGUGUCCUGGAUGUUCCCUCUCACAAAUACACUGGAGCAGGACAUGACUCUUCAGUGGGCUAAAACUAUCUCAGAGAGGUGCCAGUCUCACUAGCCAGCCCUACCAAGCAAAGAUGCCCGUGCCCACAGAGUAGGCCCUUCUGGGGAAGGCCUGCCUCCUGUGUGGAGUGUGCUCAGCUCUCUGCUCCCAACCUCACAUUCUCUAGCAGGUGGUCUGAGA
rnacentral:lncRNA from 1 species